AACGGAAUGAGGAAGCGGUGGGCUGGGCUCACUGCAGGGCAAACCGGCCGUGCUGCACACACACACACUCUAUCUUCUGCCUGCAUCUGUGCACAUUGCAGCGAGGCCAUUAUCUGCCUGCACAUACGUACAUGCAGGGUGGGAAAAUGUAAGCUGUAGGGUGGUUGUGGCAUCAGAACAGUGCUGUGAACUGAUCAAGAAUACGUUGAAUAUGAAAAAUUGGAAGGCUGGCCCUUAAGUGGUAAAGUACAGAGGUCUGAAACAACCCUAUGCGUGGAGGACUGGGUUGUGAACGGAAACUUGUGUAUUCAUAAAGCGGAUCUUGGUAGCUCAGGAAUGUUAGUGUAAACUUGGGGAGCUCUGGGGAAUUAUACUAAUGGUGUCAGAACUCCUAACAAUUACAAGAGACUUGAUUAAAAGUCAUAAGCUGUAAGAAAUACAAUACUGGCUAAUAGCUUCUGAAAUACUUUUGUUUCCAUAUUUGUGAGGAUUUAUUAACAGCCAGGUUCCUUUUUGCUGUUUAUUUUCUUCACCCACAGCACCAUGGGGGAGCUUGUUUAGUUUCUUUCUUUUGUUUAAAAAUCUCAUUUGCUGUAUUUCUCAAAUGUCUGUGUCAGUAAGCCAGGGUUUGGCUCAGAAUGGAUGUUAUCCCAAAAUUCUCAGUCACUGUGCUGCUUCAGAGUAUUUAUUCCUUCUUUUCCAUCAAAGACAUUGUCCACAAACUGAAGCAAAAAACCAGACUGAAGCAAGGUAUUGUUCUGAACGCUCACUCUUUCCCAGUUCCCAGAACACAUUAGGUAGAAUGUCGUGCUUUAAAAAAAUAUAUUAAUUUAAUUUAUUUAAGCAGAUAAGCAUUAAAUUUUAAAUUAUUUUUGUUAUGCCAUGAAGAAAGCUUCCUUUUCACGUCAAGUCGUUUAAGUCACAUGCUGAUGGGCAUUUUUCCUUUCCCUUCCUGUUCAGUUUUUCUAAUCAGCAAAUACCUUCAAAAUCUGCUUUCUUAAUUGAAAUUUGCAUACAUUGUUUCAAAGAGACACACAGGUCAUUGCCACUCAACUGGAGAAUAUACUGAAACAAACGCUAUUUAAGCUGCUCGCACCUCCAGCUAUGACUUGCAGUAUUGAAAAGAGUCAGCUCAAGGAGAGGAGCUGAAGGUGUUUUUGUGCUGCACAGCGGAAUGUACAAGAGGCCCAAAUGUCAGGGGAUUUACUUUUCAUGUUAAAUCAGUCAUUCUAAACAGCAAUUUGAGGGUUUGCCCUUUUACUUUGAAACUAAAUAACAGAGUCUGCUAAAAUAUCGUUAGUCUUAGCAGUACUGCUCCCAUGUAUGGGUUGAGAUUAGGUCUCUCCUGCAAAAAACCUCCCUUAAGAGGCUGCUUGCAGCUACCAAGGAUUAUCUGUAUCUAUUCACUCCAACUGCAUUAACCUUUACUACAUUCUCCAGGGGAUUUUUAUUUGCUGUGCAUCUUGUUAGUGUACUUCAAACUUGUUAAUGCUGAUAGUUGCAAAGCCCUUUUCUCUUGUCCUCCUUGACUUAUAGAACUGCAGUUUGGAUGUGAUGAAUUCUCAGGGAUUCACGGAAAAAAAUCUUGAUAGUAUCUCAGUUUCAAUCAUCACAGUAAUAAAAAGCAUUACACUAAAUUUGAAGCAGCAGGGUUCCUUUUAUCAGUCCACUUCUAAAGUUUUUUUCAUAAUCUAGGUGACUGAAGAUCUGAGUUUUCCCAUGUUUGUGUUAUGUGGCUUAUUUUCUUUUAGUAUCUAUUUGAAUGUCUGACAUCUGAAAGCUCCAUUUCCCAAGUUUCCCUGUUUCAAGUCCAUCAUCAUUACUUUACACUGAGAUAAUGUUCUUUUUUUGCCUUACUUCAACUCCAAAUGGAUGCUUAUGUGACUUUUAGUCUUUUGCUUAUUUACAUGGAUUGGUUCACUGCAGUGUACAAGAUGUCUUAUUCAUCAGGCAAAAUAAUCACACUGCUACAUUGAAGUCACAUAUUUACCAGUGUCGUGCUUCAGACAAAGAGAAUGCAUGGCCUACAGUUCUGUGGUAAUACAAGACCUGCAGAACUACCAAAUGCUGGCCCUGUUUUCCGCAUGUAGAUCGCAGCUGUACACACUGCUUCAGCACCAAAGGAGGUCUACUCACAAAAGUAAAAUCUGUUCUACAAAUUAGCAUUCAAUUG
ensembl:lncRNA